CCUGACACCUCCUGCAGAUCUGAGCAGCUGCGCGUUGAACUGGAUAGUCUUGGAAUGUGGGACAACAGAGGCAGACUCAAGAGUCUGGAACAUGGUUUUAGGAUCACACAGAAAGAUACAUGAUUUUCAUAGAAUAUAUCUUAAGACAAAGAAUUGCAGAUUGGCAUCGUAUUUUCCAUCUAAGCGCAUGCUCAAGGGAACUCAGAAAAUCUGUUACCUGCAUAAUGAUUAUCAUCAUCCCUGGAUGUGGAAACAAAGGCUGAAAGGGAGAAGAAGACAUGGUUUCCUGAUAGCAGAGCUCGGGUGGACACCAGAUUUUUCCACUCCAGAUCCUGCUUUCUGCUUAUGCUGA
rnacentral:lncRNA from 1 species